GUUCUCCACGUCCCCACCAGACUCAGGAGCCCAGCUGGCUUCACCCAGUGGAUCCCGCACCGGGGCUGCAGAUAGAGCUGCCUGCCAGUCCGGCGCCCUGCGCCCGCACUCCUCAGCCCUUGGGUGGUCGACGGGACUGGGCGCCGUGGAGCAGGGGGCGGCGCUUAUCGGGGAGGCUCGGACGGCACAGGAGCCCGUGGAGGGGGUGGGAGGCUCAGGCAUGGCGGGCUGCAGGUCCCAAGCCCUGCCCUGCGGGAAGGCAGCCAAGGCCCGGUGAGAAAUCGAGCGCAGCGCCGGUGGGCUGGCACUGCUGGGGGAUCCAGUACACCCUCCGCAGCCGCUGGCCUGGGUGCUAAGCCCCUCAUUGCCCGGGGCCGGCAGGACCGGCCGGCUGCUCCAAGUGCCGGGCCCGCCAAGCCCACGCCCACCCGGAACUCCAGCUGGCCCGCAAGCGCCGCGCGCAGCCCGGGUUCCCGCUCGCGCCUCUCCCUCCACACCUCCCUGCAAGCAGAGGGAGCCGACUCCGGCCUUGGCCAGCCCAGAAAGGGGCUCUCGCAGUGCUGCGGUGGGCUGAAGGCCUCCUCAAGUGUCGCCAAAGUGGGAGCCCAGGCAGAGGAGGCGCCGAGAGCGACCGAGGGCUGUGAGGACUCCUAGCGCGCUGUCACCUCUCACCAAUAUCUAAGGUGACCAUUAUUCCCGGCUUCCAGAGGCCACUCCCAUUCCUUGGCUUGUGCACCACCCCCUUCUUUUUCAUCUUCAAACAUGACAAUGCUACCUUCUUUUACCAUGAGUUUCAGCCCUCCCCACAGAAAAAGUCUGUGUCAGAUUUUCAGGUGCCCUAAGCCUUAAAGCUUCUACCUAUUAUCUACUUUGAUCUGGAUCAGAGUGGGAGAAUGGAAUCUUUUCUUCUCAAAACACACAGCAUUGGGGUGGAUAACAAUCCCUGAUGGAUGUUCAUCUUCCCAACAUGCCUGGACUGUGGGCAGGAUCAUUCAAACAGUGGAGUGACAGGGAGGUGAGGAUUGUCCGGGAAGCCAUUCAUGCUAACCUCACUAAUAUAAACAAGUUUUCAAGACCCCCACGUUCAGGGACCUGGAAGAGAAGCCACGUAUGAAACUGUUCCAAAUUAGGCAAAAAGGUGAGCUGUUUCUAAGCCUAUACUGAGAGAGAAACUUAAAUGGAAGAAAAAAUAGUCCAGAGGCUUUAAAUGUGUAAAUGAGUGAGUUGUAUAAUAGUGGAUGUUGAGACAACCUAACAGAGUUAAUACUUUGAGGGAAAGAGGCGAGAAACAGAGCCUAAAAUGAUUGGAGUCAAAUAAUUGUCACCAUUAGUUCAAAUAUUUAUAUUUUAAUACGUGGUUAAGAUACUCGGGAGGGAAUCCAGGUGCUUCUGUACUACCUACUUUGGUUGUUCUUUUCCCUUGACUCUGUUACAACUACUUUUUCUUCUCACUUAACUGUUCUGCAUUUUUUCCUACCUUCACUCUCUCUCAUGGACUUAGCUAACAGCCUCAAGAAUGCUUUCUCUCUAUGAAAUGUGUCUUCUAAUUUUAAUUUGUUUGUGUUCUUUGUGUUAAUAUGUCACUUACAUCAUUAAUGGUGAUAAUUUACAUCGAACAUUCUAAAUGAGAUGUAUGUGAGUUAUUAACUGGAAUCUUUUGACUGUAUUGUGGUAAAGUAUGGUGAAAACCUGUAUUUAGAAAGAUUUUAUAGUAAGGGACCUUCAUUUUUAAUGAUUAAUGAAAGAGAAAAAACAAUAUACUGAUCCUCCACAGGAAUUUACAUUUAAUUGGUAAAAACUUACAUCAAAUAAUAUCUUCAAACCCCACUGAUGUUUGUGUUUAAAGUACAGUGAAGGAUUUAGAAUGUCCCCACUCGACUCUCCUAUAAAUAAGUGUGAGGCAGGUUUUGGUCAUGAUUGUAAUAGAGAUAGAGAUAUAACUCUUUUGUUUGACAUAUGUAGUAUUGCCAUGUGCUAAAGUAUGAAAUGAGAUCUGGAGAGAUCUUCUGAUUAACAAAUGGUUUUUGAAAUUUUAAUGGUAAGAUAUAAAUUAUGUUGUAACAGAAUUUUUAAGAGAGCAGUAACUUCUAACAUUUAAUCAUAUAAUAUUUUGCUUCAAAAAUAGGAUAACAGAUUAAUUGAUUUCAUGAGCAAAUGAAUCCUAGUCAAAUGUGCGUGGUUUACACAGAACCAUCCAGGGUGGUCCAGGAGAUGAGAAUUUUCUCCUCUAUAAGCAUUCUUUUCUGCCAUGCUUGCCUGUACAUGGACAUUUGUAGAAACAUUUUUAUUUUGACUUACCUAUUUGCUUAAAAUUUUCUAUUGUAUUUAUUUUUGGAAGUAGAAUGUUAAUGUUAUACAAAUAAUCUAAUAAUUUUGGCAAACAUACAAUCAAAGUAGGGGGAUAGUAUAGAGUUAAAGCAUGGCCGUAAGAAUACAAUUCAAAAAGUGGUAUUUUAUCUCCUUAUUAAUAUUCAUCAUUUAACACUGAUUAAAUGUAAACACAAUUAGUCCCACAAUUUGUAAUAUCUAAUUUUGCUUUUUAGUACUAUAAAUGUGGAGGAGUUUCACUCUUUUGUUUAAUGUUAUUCAUUUAC